CAAAACCUGAUCUUGAAGAUCUUCUGUUUAUGCUGCAGGGACUGUCAGGAGCCCUAUGCCAUCAAUGACUCCAAGGUUCCCAGUCAAACCCAGGAGCACAAGCCAUCGACCCAAAAUUUGCUGCUUCAGAAGGAUGAGCUUGACAGACAAAAUCCCAAGCGCAUUAACGCAGUCUCCCAUUUGCCUUCGAGAACACCCCUGAUCCAGACAAAAAAGAGCACUUCCUCCAGCAGCAGUGAGUUUGAGGAUCUGAAUGCAUAUGCUUCCCAAAGAAAUUUUUACAAGAGAAACUUAAACCGCUACUGCCAGGAGCACUGGCCAUUCCAGCCAUGCCUCACUGGGAGGCCCUGAGCAUUCUAGCCGGCGGCUGCACAGCUGCUGGGGCAUCUCCAUGAGGAAGAGGGCGGUGGACAGGAGUCAUGAAGACUAAUUCGGAAACUCCCCUGAAGGAGGAGAAGACAUCUGAGCCAUCCUUGUGCCACCAAGCAAGAGUCACUCCAGCUCCUAAAAAGCCACCAUGGGAAGAGCUGCCUCCAAUUAAAGUUCUUGAUUGCA
rnacentral:lncRNA from 1 species